CUGUGGCUGAGCCUGUCGGGGACGUGUCCGUCGCGAGCCCCGGGGCCGAGAAAAGCGCCAUCACGGACUGCACCCGGAGAAGACCUGGUUCGGCGCUCGAGGACGCGGGUUCGAUUCCCGCCAGCUCCACCA
rnacentral:tRNA from 1 species